rnacentral:rRNA from 1 species
CAUGGCUCAGAUUGAACGCUGGCGGCAGGCCUAACACAUGCAAGUCGAACGGCAGCACAGAAGAGCUUGCUCUUUGGGUGGCGAGUGGCGGACGGGUGAGUAACACGUAGGAAUCUACCCAGUAGUGGGGGAUAACCUGGGGAAACCCAGGCUAAUACCGCAUACGCCCUGAGGGGGAAAGCGGGGGAUCUUCGGACCUCGCGCUAUUGGAUGAGCCUGCGUCGGAUUAGCUAGUUGGUGGGGUAAGGGCUCACCAAGGCGACGAUCCGUAGCUGGUCUGAGAGGAUGACCAGUCACACCGGAACUGAGACACGGCCCGGACUCCUACGGGAGGCAGCAGUGGGGAAUAUUGCGCAAUGGGGGCAACCCUGACGCAGCCAUGCCGCGUGUGUGAAGAAGGCCUU